rnacentral:lncRNA from 1 species
CUCAUAAUGGACCAUCUUUAGUUUUCUGCUAGAUAGUCUUUAUUCUCAAUGGGCCACUAACUUUCUCUUUUCUACCAUUCUUGAGUAUUCAUUAAAAGACCGUUUAAUUUUGACCAGAUCUUCAUGUACCUCUUUUAGUGAUAAAGGUAUAAAAACAUGAUUCAAACCGUUCUCUCACAAUGAAUAUUGAUUGGUGCGGCCGUAAUAUUAUACCUGUCUAUCAAAUUGCGAAGGUCUCUCAAGUAUCAUAUGACUGGCAUUCAUAGGUACGAUAUCACAACAUACCUUGUCGUGAUAUUUUUCGAUGAAGAAUGGUACUAUGACUUACUCGGUCACUUGGGUUUCAGCACAGUCAUUCAACCACCAUAGCCAGUAGGGAGCGCAAUGUUUGAUGCAUGUUAACCCCACUCUUUUCGUGAAUAGAGUGUUUGCCACAUUAGAACAACUACCACUGUCAAUGGUCAUUCCAUAUACCUUAUCAUUGACACAACAUCGUGGGUGGAAAAUGUUCUUCCUCAACUCAUUGUCUUUACUCCUAACUUACAAAUUGAGAGCUUUUCGAUCAACAA